ACCUAUUGCUAACACAACCACCUUGUAGGUUUUUAUAUAUAUACUUCGGACUAUUUUUUACUGCAACCAACGCUCACUUUAGGGGAUAUCCAUCAAGGUUCCAUGAGUAUUUUCCUGAGGUUUUCAUUCCAUUUCUUCUCCGUCCAACAUCCUGAGUUCACGAGGGAUGUUAACCAAACCUCAUCAGAUUUUGUUGGCUCAUCAUCAUCGUUCCUAUGCCAGGUCCAAUGCGCAUGUGUUGAAUUCACCAUCUGAAGUUCGCCAUGUCCAAAGCUUGCUUCCCUGAAGACUGACCACUCUGGUG
rnacentral:lncRNA from 1 species